CGCAGGAUCCGCGUUUGUGUAAUAAGCGUUCGCGUGCAUCCAAACCAGCAAUCGCGGAUAGAGAAUCACCUUCAAAGGCCGAAUUAGUUCUCCAGCCCAAAUUAAAAUAUUUUAUUAGGUCCAGGCCCUUCUUGGCCCAAUAUAAAGCCUUCAGUAACCAUGUUUAAUUGGAAGACAUUUACUGGAAGGGUAAAAAAACGGUUUUAACGACAUUUAGCCUUACCCUAAAAAAAUUUAAAAAUAAAAAUAAAAUGCCGAUAUCCCAAAUUUAUAACAAUUUUUGUGAGUAUUAAUGUCAAUACUUACAAUACUAAGGGGCCGUUCGACAACCUUACCGAAACCACGAA
rnacentral:lncRNA from 1 species